GGUGCCGCCUCGUCUGUCCGCGGACCGAGACGGCGCCUCAAAGUCUGCCCUGCGGAGUUCACUCGCCUCAACUCUUGGACCUCACAGUCUGGGUUGGUAGAGUGGCCCGCCUGCGGCGUACGUGUGGGACCUGCAGCGUGCAGUGCCCCACCCCUCAACACACCCU
rnacentral:misc_RNA from 1 species